GUGUCUGGGAAGCAGAGAAGGCCACGUCAGUGUGGGCACAGCACUCCUUAAAUGCCUCUGGAGGGUUUUGAGGGUUUUUUGCCCAUCUGCCUUGGAAAUUCAGCGUUUGCCUGACAGCACUGUAGACAUUCCCAGGGAUGAUGCAGUCCUAAACAAGGAAAGCCAGUUGGAAGCAAAACAUACUUGUGUAAACCAGUCCAAAAAGCCCUGCCUGUGAGCAAGCUGUCUUCAGACUAAGCCUGAAGCUAGCCUGCAGUCUGACAAGCCUUUGGAUUAAUUGCACCCUCUCCUUGCUAGCAAAUGGGAGGAUUUUAAACAUCCUUUAAAGCUUUCUGAAGUUCUGGUUCUGCUGCAGAAUACUGUGAUUUUCGUGAUGUAAUUAGCGGUUGUUCAGGUUUGGGAUAAUUGGCAUCAGCCAGGGCUGGCUGCUCCCAGUUUGCUGAAGUCGCACAACUGAAGUGGCCAAGAAGCAAGAACACUUCUGAGAAUGAAAAGAUGAUUCCCUCCCUCCAGAAUCUCACAUCAAGUGAAAAAUAAGCCUGUAUAAUUUGGCAGGAAUCACUGUAAUCACAGAGUUUCAGCAACUGAGUUUGUAUCAAGUGACUUUUAUGCCACUUCCUGAGGAGAAGAGAGUGCCUGUGACAUAUCAGCAAUUUACCUGACACCCUUGAGACUUAUGAGCAUUCCUAAUUCUCCCAGAAAGCUCAGAACAAGUCAUUUUGAAUUUUGACGCUUAAAAUAAUUCCUAGGGUUGAGUGAAAUUCAUGCCUUCACCAAAAAAAUAAAAAUUAAAAAAAAAAAAAAUAAAAAAAUUGUAAGAUGAAUUUGGGGCUCUUUACAAUGCUGAAAAAAAAUAAUUAAAAAAUUAAAAAAUAAAUUAAAAAAGGGGUCUAAUAAAAGCACCCAAGGAUUUUGAAAUUCCUCUGAUAAUCACCUGAUUUCCAAACUAUUCUUGUGAACUCUAGUUCAGUUCCAUCUGGAGAGGAAACCAAGUUACUGCCUGCAUAGAAGACUCACUUGUGCCUGUGCACACACACAGACAAUUUCCCUCUGGCUUUUAGUCUCAUAUUUUGACUUAAAGGAAAAAA